AAAAAUUAAACUUAGCAAAAAUACCCACAAGAGGUGCUGUAUUAUAUGUACAAGCCUCUGUUUGCACAUAAUUUGCUCUGUCAUCAUUAAAUUCAUCUUGAUUGUCAGGCCCACCAACAAUUGCCCCAAUUAAAACAUUUGGGUUUGGCCCAUUUUUGUUGUACCAAUAAUCAUACCCUUGUGUACAUCCAAUAAAGCCUUUAUUCUCUCUAUAAGACACAAUUGAGGCCCCUCUAUGGUGUACUCUUUUUGGAUAAUUUGGCCCAAAACCCACUAGAUAACUCAUGUUU
rnacentral:misc_RNA from 1 species